rnacentral:rRNA from 1 species
UACAGAGGGGGCAAGCGUUGUUCGGAAUUACUGGGCGUAAAGGGCGCGUAGGCGGCCUUCUAAGUCAGACGUGAAAUCCCUCGGCUCAACCGGGGAACUGCGUCUGAUACUGAAAGGCUUGAAUCCGGGAGAGGAAUGCGGAAUUCCAGGUGUAGCGGUGAAAUGCGUAGAUAUCUGGAGGAACACCGGUGGCGAAGGCGGCAUUCUGGACCGGCAUUGACGCUGAGGCGCGAAAGCCAGGGGAGCAAACGGG